AUUGAACGCUGGCGGCAUGCUUUACACAUGCAAGUCGAACGGCAGCGCGGGGCAACCUGGCGGCGAGUGGCGAACGGGUGAGUAAUAUAUCGGAACGUACCCAAGAGUGGGGGAUAACGUAGCGAAAGUUACGCUAAUACCGCAUACGAUCUAAGGAUGAAAGUGGGGGACCGCAAGGCCUCAUGCUCCUGGAGCGGCCGAUAUCUGAUUAGCUAGUUGGUGAGGUAAAGGCUCACCAAGGCGACGAUCAGUAGCUGGUCUGAGAGGACGACCAGGCACACUGGAACAGAGAAACGGUCCAGACUCCUACGGGAGGCAGCAGUGGGGAAUUUUGGACAAUGGGGGCAACCCUGAUCCAGCAAUGCCGCGUGAGUGAAGAAGGCCUUCGGGUUGUAAAGCUCUUUUGUCAGGGAAGAAACGGCUGCGGCUAAUAUCCGCGGCUAAUGACGGUACCUGAAGAAUAAGCACCGGCUAACUACGUGCCAGCCGCCGCGGUAAUAC
rnacentral:rRNA from 1 species